AUUGAACGCUGGCGGCAGGCUUAACACAUGCAAGUCGAGCGAGCGGCGGACGGGUGAGUAAUGUCUGGGAAACUGCCUGAUGGAGGGGGAUAACUACUGGAAACGGUAGCUCAUACCGCAUACCCUCAGCUGUGACCCGAUGGGAUUAGCUAGUAGGUGGGGUAAUGGCUCACUUAGGCUACGUUCCCUAGCUGGUCUGAGAGGAUGACCAGCCACACGGGAACUGAGACACGGUCCAGACUCCUACGGGAGGCAGCAGUGGGUAAUAUGGCACAAUGGGCGCAAGCCUGAUGCAGCCAUGCCGCUUGUGUGAAGAAGGCCUUCGGGUUGUAAAGCACUUUCAGCGAGGAGGCGUUACUCGCAGAAGAAGCACCGGCUAACUCCGUGCCAGCAGCCGCGGUAAUUC
rnacentral:rRNA from 1 species